AACUGUUUGGACUAACGAUUACACCCAUGGUUUCUUUUUCAAUGAGUGAAAAAAGUGCAUUAAUUGUCAUUGUUGAACAUUUCUUUAUUGAUUGAUUACCACAUUUUGACAGGUUGGCUAUUUUAGAUGACAUCAAAGUCCUCGUGGAAACUGACCAUCUUGCUGCAUCCUCGGAGGGAGAAGUUAGGGGCGGAGGUUUUGUUGACGGUGGCAGGCCCCAGCACAGAGAGCUGCAUGUAAGCAGCAGGGCCUGAGCGAAAGGACGCAAUCACAUUCCGUUAUGGCGAAGGUGACCACAGAUGGUGUCCAGAUGCACGGAAGGGAUCAGGGACCAACAAUGGCGUAAACUAUAGUCUUUCACCACUUCUACCGUGAGACCAGAGUCUGAGCCAGCAACCUGUACACAGCAUCCAGUCGAAGAUAUCAGUCAAAGCUAUGCUUUUCCUCUCAUGCCUGUUCUCUCAGGAGUGCAACAUGAGUCCACGAGGAGUGAGCAUGGAGAGAGAUCCCGUCCAAACUUGUUGGUGUAAUGGUAGAAAAAUGGACAAGACAUAAUGCACUGUAAAGGACAGAGGCGGCUCAGGUGAGAGACAUUAUUAAGGGCCAUCCACAUUGAACAUUUGCCAUUGGGAGGACGAACUGAAACACUAUCUGAAGAGAACAUGAAGAAACGCAAGAAGGAUGAGUGCUGGGAUGGAGGGGGGUGGUCAACCGUGCCCGUAAUUGAUUUAGGCUUAUCCAAAAUGGUUAUUUGGGGUAUCAGGUUGAUUGUGGAGGUCUGCACACUGUGAAAUGUAUAGUAAUUAGACUAAGAAUGCAUUGAGAUACCAAUCUGUCAUUACCACAAGAGAUGACAAUAGUUAUUACUAGAAAUAUAAGAUGCAUAUAUUGUAUGUCAAUGUAAAUGUACAUUCUGCCAGUGUCGGUGUGUGCUAAAUUGAGGUUCUUAAAUUAAAGUGAUAGAACCAACGUGGAGCAUUAACUUCUUAGUGAUCCCUUUGCGCGCCGUUAACGGGAUUGAUUUGACAACACCCAGUGAAAUAGCAGCGCGCCAAAUUCAAAAACAGAAAUACUCCUAAUAAUAAUAAUUCAUGAAUCAUAAAAGUGUUAUACAUCGGUUUAAAGAUUAACUUCUUGUUAAUCCAGCCACAGUGUCAUAUUUAAAAAAGGCUUUACGGCGAAAGCAAACCAUGCUAUUAUCUGAGGACAGCACCCCAUUAAACAAACACAUGAAAAUCACCUUUCAACCCGCCAGGCGUGACACAAAAGUCAGAAAUAACGAUAUAAUUAAUGCCUUACCUUUAAAGAUCUUCUUCUGUUGGCACUCCAAAUUGUCCAUUAAACAUCACAAAUGGUCCUUUUGUUCGAUAAAUUCUGUCAUUAUAUCUCCAAAAUGUACAUUUAUUUGGCGCAUUUUAUCCAGAAAAACACUGGUUCCAACUCGCGCAACAUGACUACAAAUUACCUGUAAACUUGAUCCAAACAUUUCAAACAACUUUCCUAAUCCAACUUUAGGUAUUUUAAACGUAAAUAAUCAAUCAAAUGUAAGAUUGGAUAAACUGUGUUCAAUACCGUAUGAAAACAAAGUGUUGCUUUCAGGUCACGCGCCCCAACCACAACAGUACACUAGACUUGACCCUCAUUCUGAACAGCCCUACUUCUUAAUUUCAUAAAGGAAAAACAUCAACCAAUUUCUAAAGACUGUGGACAUCUAGUGGAAGCGAUAGGAACUGCAAUCUAGAUCCACAUAGAAAACCCAUUGAAAAGAGAGUGACUUUUAAAAAGAAUUACUGGAUGGUUUGUCCUCUGGGUUUCUCCUGCCAAAUAAGUUCUGUUAUACCCACAGACAUAAUUGUAACAGUUUUAGAAACAUCAGAGUGUUUUCUAUCCAAAUCUACCAAUUACAUGCAUAUCCUGGCUUCUGGGUCUGAGUAGCAGGCAGUUUACUUUGGGCACACUUUCCAUCCGGGUGUGAAAAUAGUGCCCCCUAGCCUUAAGGAUGGAGUUUCUAAAUUUGGGUUGCAUAAUUGAUCAAUAGUUAUAAUUACGAUUUGGAAAGGCUUCUAGGGACAGAGCUAUGGCCCUAAAUUGUGAGGAGAGCCACCAGAUUGUAGCUUGGGCUAACCUUGCCCCAUUCUCAUUCUUAUCAAGGUUGGUGUGAAACUGUUGUAACACAUGUUCUCUCUCAUCGCUGUGAAAGUCAAUAUGCAUUUGCCCAAGACCAAAUUCGGGAGAUCUCUAGAAACGUAGAGAAAAUUGGUAAUGCAAAAAUAAUUGUGCAAAUUGGCUCUGCAAAACAGAGAGGCUCUUUUGGCAGGUCUUUUGGCAGGUCAAGGGGGCUCUUCAAAUCAAACUUUAUUUGUCACAUGCGCCAAAUACAACAAGUGUAGACCUUACCGUGAAAUGCUUACUUAAAACCCCUUAACCAACAGUGCAGAUCAAGAAGAGUUAAGAAAAUAUUUACCAAAUAAACUAAGGUAAAAAAUAAUAAGCAGUAACACAAUAACAUAACAAUAAGGAGUCUAUAUACAGGGGGUACCAGUACCGAGUCAGUGUGCAGGUGUACGGGUUUAAGGUUAUUUGUACAUGUAGGCAGGGGUGAAGUGACUAUGCAUAGAUAAUAAACAGCGAGUAGCAGCAGUGUACAAAACAAAUGGAGGGGUGGGUGGAGUCAACGUAAUAGUCCGGUGGCCAUUUGAUUAAUUGUUCAGCAGUCUUAUGGGUUGGGGGUAGAAGCUGUUAAGGAGACUUUUUGUCCUAGACUUGGUGCUCCAGUUCCGCUAGACGUGCGGUAGCAGAGAAAACAGUCUCUGACUUUGGUGACUGGAGUCUCUAACAAUUUUAUGGGCUUUCCUCUGACACCACCUAUUAUGUAGGUCCUGGAUUGCAGGAAGCUUGGCCCCAGUAAUGUACUGGGCCGUAUGCACUACCCUCUGUAGCGCCUUACGGUCAGAUGCCAAGCAGUUACCAUACCAGGCGGUGAUGUAACCGGUCAGGAUGCUCUCGAUGGUGCAGCUGUAGAACGUUUUGAGGAUCUGGGGAUCCAUGACAAAUCUUUUCAGUCUCCUGAGGGGGAGAAGGUUUUGUCAUGCCCUCUUCACGACACUUGUGCAAUCAUUGGCGAUGAAUGUUGAACUUUUGUCCCAGAUCACUCUUCUAAUAUGACUGAUCUUGCCAAAUACAUUGCCACUGUUGCUAAGAAUAAUUCCCCACAACUAGAGUGAGCGUCUGUAUCUUGGUUGGAAUCCCUGUUUGGAAGUUGGGGAUCCCAAAUUGCCAAAUGGGCUGCAGUGUGUGUUAAUAGAAGUAUAACCUUUAUUAUGAUUAUAGUAUUACCAUACUAAUUAGAUUGUAUUACCCAGAAUGAAGGGUUUGAAAUUAUGAAGUGUCUGUUUUUUUCUUUGUUGAUUUCCCUUACUUUAAUAGGAGUAUAGAACAUUUUGACAUAGAAGCUAAAAUGUAAAUGCUUACAUUAAAAUGUAAUGAUUAUUAUCACACAAGUGAUAAGAAGAUGGAACGUGAUGGAAGGUUUUAUGUUGGUGCUUUUUUAAAACUUUAUGUUGGCACAGCCAGAAGAGGACUGUCCACCCCACAUAGCCUGGUUCCUCUCUAGGUUUCUUCCUAGGUUUUGGCCUUUCUAGGGAGUUUUUCCUAGCCACCGUGCUUCUACACCUGCAUUGCUUGCUGUUUGGGGUUUUAGGCUGGGUUUCUGUACAGCACUUUGAGAUAUCAGCUGAUGUACGAAGGGCUAUAUAAAUACAUUUGAUUUGAUUUGAUUUGAAUAAAUACAUUUCAUUUGAACUAACGGGACUGCCCCGAGAGAGCUCCUGACAGAUGUUCACUAUGGUGCAUCAAGUUUGUUGGAACC